UGGUGGGUAGUUUGACUGGGGCGGUCUCCUCCUAAAGAGUAACGGAGGAGCACGAAGGUUAGCUAAUCCUGGUCGGACAUCAGGAGGUUAGUGCAAAGGCAUAAGCUAGCUUGACUGCGAGAGUGACGGCUCGAGCAGGUGCGAAAGCAGGUCUUAGUGAUCCGGUGGUUCUGAAUGGAAGGGCCAUCGCUCAACGGAUAAAAGGUACUCCGGGGAUAACAGGCUGAUACCGCCCAAGAGUUCAUAUCGACGGCGGUGUUUGGCACCUCGAUGUCGGCUCAUCACAUCCUGGGGCUGAAGUAGGUCCCAAGGGUAUGGCUGUUCGCCAUUUAAAGUGGUACGCGAGCUGGGUUUAGAACGUCGUGAGACAGUUCGGUCCCUAUCUGCCGUGGGCGCUGGAGAAUUGAGGGGGGCUGCUCCUAGUACGAGAGGACCGGAGUGGACGCAUCACUGGUGUUCGGGUUGUCAUGCCAAUGGCAUUGCCCGGUAGCUAAAUGCGGAAGAGAUAAGUGCUGAAAGCAUCUAAGCACGAAACUUGCCCCGAGAUGAGUUCUCCCUGAGACUA
rnacentral:rRNA from 1 species